GCGGAAGUGGCGCAAUGGCGGCGCAGGUGGUUUCCAACCAUCAGGUUGUGGGUUCGACUCCCACCUUCCGCU
rnacentral:tRNA from 1 species